rnacentral:rRNA from 1 species
CAGUAGCCGCGGUAAUACGUAGGGUGCGAGCGUUGUCCGGAAUUACUGGGCGUAAAGGGCUCGUAGGUGGUUUGUCGCGUCGUCUGUGAAAUUCCGGGGCUUAACUCCGGGCGUGCAGGCGAUACGGGCAUAACUUGAGUACUGUAGGGGUAACUGGAAUUCCUGGUGUAGCGGUGAAAUGCGUAGAUAUCAGGAGGAACACCGAUGGCGAAGGCAGGUUACUGGGCAGUUACUGACGCUGAGGAGCGAAAGCAUGGGUAGCGAACAGGAUUAGAUACCCCAGUAGUCCCUGUCUCUUAUU